rnacentral:misc_RNA from 1 species
GAUGAAGAACGUAGCGAAAUGCGAUAAGUAAUGUGAAUUGCAGAAUUCAGUGAAUCAUCGAAUCUUUGAACGCACCUUGCGCUCUUUGGUAUUCCGAAGAGCAUGCCUGUUUGAGUGUCAUGAAAAUAUCAACCUUGACUUGGGUUUUGUGCUCUAGUCUCGGCUUGGAAUUGGGUGCUUGCCGCUUUUACGAGCGGCUCACCUUAAAUGUAUUAGCUGGAUCUGUCUUUGAGACUUGGUUUGACUUGGCGUAAUAAGUAUUUCGCUAAGGACAUUCUUCGGAGUGGCCUCGUUUCUAGGACGCUUGUCCGCUUUCCAAUACAAGUUCCACCUCGUGGACAUGACUUUUUAUUAUCUGGCCUCAAAUCAGGUAGGACUACCCGCUGAACUUAAGCAUAUCAAUAAGCGGUGGA